GUUCGAAUAGUGUAGUGGUUAUCACGCGUAAGUUUUGGACUUUUUCUCAAACAUAGUCAUUUUCUAACCCCUAUCAAAGAUCGUUCACACCUUGUGAGCCCAAAUCCGAUGAGGUCCCAGGUUCGAAACCUGGUUCGAACA